UACGUAGGGGGCUAGCGUUGUCCGGAAUCAUUGGGCGUAAAGAGCGCGUAGGCGGCUAGAUAAGUCCGGUGUGAAAGUCAGAGGCUCAACCUGUGAAUGCCGCUGGAAACUGUCUGGCUAGAGUCCGGAAGGGGCGAGUGGAAUUCCUGGUGUAGCGGUGAAAUGCGCAGAUAUCAGGAGGAACACCAAUGGCGAAGGCAGCUCGCUGGGACGGUACUGACGCUGAGGCGCGAAAGCGUGGGGAGCAAACAGG
rnacentral:rRNA from 1 species